CUACGGGUGGCUGCAGUGGGGAAUAUUGGACAAUGGGCGAAAGCCUGAUCCAGCCAUGCCGCGUGUGUGAAGAAGGCCUUCGGGUUGUAAAGCACUUUCAGUGGGGAAGAAAGCCUUGGGGCUAAUACCCUCGAGGAAGGACAUCACCCACAGAAGAAGCACCGGCUAACUCCGUGCCAGCAGCCGCGGUAAUACGGAGGGUGCGAGCGUUAAUCGGAAUUACUGGGCGUAAAGCGCGCGUAGGCGGUCUGAUAAGCCGGUUGUGAAAGCCCCGGGCUCAACCUGGGAACGGCAUCCGGAACUGUCAGGCUAGAGUGCAGGAGAGGAAGGUAGAAUUCCCGGUGUAGCGGUGAAAUGCGUAGAGAUCGGGAGGAAUACCAGUGGCGAAGGCGGCCUUCUGGACUGACACUGACGCUGAGGUGCGAAAGCGUGGGUAGCAAACAGGAUUAGAUACCCGGGUAGUC
rnacentral:rRNA from 1 species